rnacentral:rRNA from 1 species
UACGGGGGGGGCAAGCGUUGUUCGGAUUUACUGGGCGUAAAGGGAGUGUAGGCGGUUGGUCAAGUCGGAUGUGAAAGCUUCACCACUCAACGGGAAGACGUCAUCCGAAACUGGUCGGCUAGAGUAGGGUAGAGGCAAGCGGAAUUCCUGGUGUAGCGGUGGAAUGUGUAGAUAUCAGGAAGACCACCAGUGGCGAAGGCGGCUUGCCAGAAUGCGCUCGACGGUGAGGGAUGAAAGCUGGGGGAGCAAACCGG